rnacentral:miRNA from 1 species
AUUUGUUUGAUAUGUAAACGAGUGUGAAUAUGUCCGCAACCAACGUGACGUCAUAAAUUAGCGGACAUAUUCACACUCAUUUACAUGUCAAACAA